GCGAUUCCCUUAGUAGUGGCGAACGAAAAGGGAACAGCCCAGCGCAUAAUCUCCCGGGUUACCAAGCCUGCGGCGAAAUGUUGCGUUAAAGGAAAGGUCGUUCGUGUCUCGCCCACCCGUUUGAUUGUGCCUAACAGCGUCUUGAAUUAUUCGCGCUCGUUGAGUACUUUACUUCUUUCGGGUUGUAAACGCUCAACACACGGUUCCAUGGAGGGUGCAAGUCCCGUAUGGCCGCGGUUGAGUGGGCGAAGGCUAGACCUCUUUUCCUGGAGAGUCGCGUUGCUUGAACAUGCAGCGCUAAGCAGGAGGUAAACUCCUCCUAAGGCUAAAUAUGUCCACAGAACCGAUAGCUAACAAGUACCGCGAGGGAAAGUUGAAAAGUACUCUGGAGAGAGGGUGCAAAGACCGUGAAACCAUCCAGGGCAAAAGCCAAUGUCGAGUAUCCUAGUAGCGCUGGGACCGUCCUUCGGGAUGUUACUAACCACGUUUGUCGAGGUUCACAUUCGAGAGCCUCGCAUUCGUCAGUCGGUUGGUUUGAGUGUCCAUUAACAGCCCGCCGCAACUCUUGCGAGGUCUCACACGGUUGCCGAGUGUUGGCACAUCUCGUCGUUCAAUUAAAGGCUGGUCGUUGUCGAGAGUCGUGUCUUGGUAGAUCCAUCCCAGUAACAUACGCGAGUAUGCGAAGAGAUGCUGCCGAACGCGUCGGUACAAACAAACUCUUAUAGCGGCCAGCUGGAACGUCGAUAACCAACGCAUACUGGUAGCCAAUGUGUGAAUGAUCCUUCUGCGAGAAGUUGGUUCAGACAAGUCCUGCUUCCUAUACAUCCGUGUAUAGGGGUGCAGGCAACGGCGGUACAAUGCCUAGGUGACAUUGGUCACGUCUCGAAACACGGGCCAAGGAGCAUAGCGUAAAGGCGAGUCUCAGGGUUUCACUAAACCCGGUGGCGAGUGAAAGCGAGUGACGUGCUCUUUUACGAGUGCGUAGGCGUUACGUUGAGAGUUCCGUCUUUGCGGCGAGCUCUAGACGUGGCGUCGCUUUGUCACAGCUGAUCCUUUCGUUCCUCGAACAACAAGGCGCAAGCUGCAAGCUUACCCAUAGUUCAGUGCUCGGUGUUUCGGCAUCGUUGUAUCUGGCAGGGGAAGCAUUGUCUAGACUUUCCGCUAUGACCCGAAAGAUAGUGAACUAUGCUUGACGAAGACGAAGCCCUAGGAAACUAUGGUGGAAGUCUGUAGCCGUUGUGACGUGCAAAUCCAUGGCGUCAGUUGAGUAUAGGGGCGAAAGACCAAUCGAACUAUCUAGUAGCUGGUUCCUUCCGAAGUUUCUCUCAGGAUAGCUUGAGCGACAUGACAACGCUAACGAGUCUGAACGUCGAGGUGCUUGCAUCUCGCUCGUUCGCCCGUGUCUGCAGUUGUUGAGAGCACAUCAGUAGCCGUGGGCUCGUAAGCUCACUCUUUGUCGGACAAAUAUGGGUAGCGUAUCACAUACGUUCCUUGGCAGUUACGUCUGGUAAAGAGAAUGAGUAGAGUUGGCUCGUUGUUCUCAUGUAACAACAGCAGCGGGGCGUUCUACGCCUCGCACUAUUAUCAAACUUUAAAUGGGCGAGGAACUUGGCAUUAUCUUAAUUGCUUGAUGCCAGGGCGUAGUCGGUUGAGCGACGAGGUUUCGUACCAAGUUCGUCUCAGAUGAGAAUGCGUGCGCUUUAAGUGGGUCCUUUCUGGUAAGCAGAACUGAUAAUGAGGGAUGAACCUAACGCAUAUGCUAAGGGGUCAAAAAGACAGCUAUUUCUCGAAACCAUUGGAAAGGUGUUGCUUGCUAAAGACAGCAGGACGGUGGUCAUGGAAGUUGACAUCCGCUAAGGAGUGUGUAACAACUCAUCCUGCCGAAGCGAGUAACCCUGAAAAUGGAUGACUCUAUAGCUCUCUCCCGAUGCAUGGCCGUCAAAGCACGAGUGACAUUUCUUGUCUCAAGGCAUUGACGAGUAGAAUGGUGUGCUGGUGCGCGUCGAAGACAUUUGCGUGAGCAUUGUCGGAGCCGCCAGUAGUACAGAUCUUGGUGGUAGUAGCAAGUACUCUGGUGAAUAACCUUGAGCUGUGAGGCUGAUAAGGGUUCCGCGUCAACAGCGUUUGUACGCGGGUAAGCCGGUCCUAAGCUCCCUUUAUCUCAUAAAGGUAAUUGCGAAUGCAUGGAACUAUGACUUUCGGUUGGUAUAAUCGAGACACACGCUCGAACUGUGUCUAUAAAACACGAGGCCUUACGAUUCAAGCAGAGAGAAAUAAGAAAACUGACGACUCGCACCUGUUUAUUCUUGCGUCUUUGUUGUGUUGAACGUGGUGCACUUGGGUUAAAUCUUGCGUGCCAUUACUAGCGCUAAAACAUUGACACUCGAUGCCAGUCAUAGWUGCUGUUCUUGUCGACUCUCUUGUAAUCUCUCUUGUGAGUCUCGYUUUGGUUUAYUGUUUGUCAGUUGAAAAGAGACACACAUUCGCUAGAUAGCUCUUGAAUUACCUCGGUCAUACUCUGUCGUCGCUUGGCGAAAGGGAAAUAUGAACUCASUUCAUAUGCCUCUCCUGGCACCCUGAGACGGUUCACCGUAUCACGAUCCUAGCAAUAGAUGCCAGGCCAGUCGUUGUCAUAAGUAGCUCGGCAGGGAGAUUUCUUCUCUCUUUGAUAGAACGUCCGACCCUGAAAACACCUCKCGUGGCGGUAGGGUGAUGUUUUGACUUAUCASAGAAGUCCUCUCCCUAKACUAKWUCGACRCUACUUGUGACCCGYGAAAAGGUGGKCGAGGGGAUUGAAAUGUACACGCUGGUUUACCAGAAGUACUUUCGCACUUAACACGAGUGUUUGCCACGGAGUGUCCGUACCCAUUUCCGCAUCCGGUCUCAAA
rnacentral:rRNA from 1 species